rnacentral:lncRNA from 10 species
GUAAGGGACAGCGUUGCUCAUCUACAGGACCACAAGGGGUUCUGUGCUGCAGGGGCAUAAGAAGGAGCAUGUGCCAUGUGGGGAAUGCAGGGAAGCAGGGCAGAGGGACGUAGGAGAGGAAGAUUAAGAGCCAAGGGGGAGGGGCAGGCAGGCAGGUCCUUUUCCAUCUUUUCAGUCAGGGUUUCUCAAUCAUUUUAAUGAGAGCCUCAGCCCUUGCGUAAAAAUCAAGCAAUAAAGGGAGGAAUGCCUCUCUGUUUAACUUGAAGGAGAGCUACAGAAGAUGGAAAAGAGGGUUAGUUGAAAUAAAGUUGGAGCUGAUCUCGCUUGGCUGGCUGCCCUUUCUAUAAAUAUCGCCCUCCCAGUCCUGGAAAUGCAGCAGUUAGGGUCCUUGUGAGCUACUGAGGAACAUCCUUCCUGUUCAAAUGCCCAGGACUUGGCUGCCUGUGCACUUCCAUAUGCAAAGUGCCUAGAAGCUGGGGAGAGGGAGAGUGCAGGGUCAAAAGUGGGGAAUUCUGAGCCCACUCCUUUUACCCCCUGGGGGUGGCCUCACUUCCUCUGGGGGCUCUGACAGCUCUCUGGCCUGUCUUCAGCUUAGAAAUCUGCAAAAGUCAUUGGCCAGGCUCAGGAGAACUAAUCCUUUGUGCCAGAGGUCCAAAGAUAGACAACUAACUCAAAAUUGUAUCUUCGCUUUAAUCACUGCUCUGGUGAUAUUUGCAUUAAUGAAAGAGAAAAGAAAGCAUCCCCAACAGAUGGAAAAGGCGGCUCUCUGACUAGUGAAAGAACAACUUCCAGUAAAAGAAGGCACUGAGGUUUAAGUGCUACGUGGGAGCAGUUGCCGAUUUUUGCAAUGGGAGGCUGCAUAGAUUCAAGGUGGAACCAUCUAGUUGCAGGAAAACAAGCUCAGGGCUCCUGUUGAUUCUAUAUUAUGGACUUCCUUGAGUGCUCCAGGAGCUUGUCAUUCCAGAGACAGAGCAGCCCAGAAGUCCUGGGAUUUACACCUCUAGUAGAAACCCUCAACCAGAGAAGGAUGGAAGUCAAUGGGCAGAGUGCUCGGGAGACCUUUACCUGUUUUACCUGAUUACAUCCUCUGAGUCACAACGAGAAAGGAAGCCGAGCAACAGCCAGACCUGAUCUUCUUUAAUUGUGCUCUGUGGACCAAAGGCAACAGAAUUACCUAGGCCCCACCCAGAAAAUGCAGAAUCCUGGGUCCCUUAUGAAGCCACCGAAUCAAAAUUGUGGGGAGCAACCAGGAACCUGAUUUUUAAACAAGUUCCCCUGUGAUUCUUAUGCACAUUAAAAUUUGAAAACCCCUGGACAAAGCCACAGUUCCUGGAGGAGCAGAGAUGAGUCAUGUCCAUGAGUAAUACCCCAUGUUGACACAGCCCUGGUGCAAGGUAGGCACGCCCCUCACACCUGUUCUCAUCACCAACAUUCCUUGGACAAGGUCAGGAGACGGUCUUGAGCAAUUUGGUAUAAAACAAAUCUCUGUAAGUCACAUUUUAAAUAUAAUAUUUAGAGGGAUUGCAUUGGCAAAUCAAAUUGUUUUCAUUAUUGUAAAUUGUACUGUGCUCAGAUACUUACCCAAUCUUGACUUCAAAUUUAGCUCAACAUGACCUCUGGCCUUAGGCUUGAGGAUUGUAAGGCCCCCUGGCCCAGCACGCUUGCUGUGCUUGGGGCUCUGUUGUUAGCACUCUGUUUAUUUUGUUCUUGGGCACCGUCCACUACCUGGUCAGAAAAACCUUAGCCCCACUGUUCCCCAGUGCCUGUGUUCAUGUCUUGCCCCAAAGACCCAAUCCCAGAGGCUAUGGGUCCUCAAGGUUGAGAUUCUACCUAUGGCCCAAGCUAAGGUCCUGCCAUCUCUUAGCAGAAUUUCCAAAUCCUGGCCUACUUUCUAGGGUCUUCCAAUAUCAUCUGGUGCUGAAUUCCUAUCACCAAGCUCCAUGUGCCUCUCAGGACACCUCUCAUAAUCCCCCCAAACCAUAUACAGCCUAUCAGUGAGGAGCACAGGCUCGCUGGACAGCCUAGGUAUGAAGCUUGGCUCUGCCACUUGGUGGCUGUGUGACCUUAGCCAAACACCCCACCCAACAAGCCUCAAUUCCUGCAUCUAUAACAGCCCCUACUAUUAUAUGCAGCGUUGUCAUGAGUAUUGAGUGAGGUGAUACACUUACAGCCAAGCACAGUGCUUGGGCACAGCAAGGGCUCAAUAAAUGUUGGGGACCGGUCCAAAAGCUGUUCCAUGUCUGAGUGCGCGUACAUGUGAACAAAGCUCCAUGCCAAAGCAAAUGUGUCUCCAAGCUACCCUAGCAGUGGCACCAGGGGUCACUUAUAGAGUGUCACUUUGGGCUUUGGAACAAAUGGACUUGUAAGCAGCCUUUUCUCCUCUAUUUUUUUUUUUUUUUUUGAGACAGAGUUUCACUUUUGUCACCCAGGCUGGAGCGCAAUGGCGCGAUCUCGGCUCGCUGCAAACUCUGCCUCCCAGGUUCAAGUGAUUCUCCUGCCUCAGCCUCCCAAGUAGAUGGGAUUACUGGUGUGUGCCAUUAUGCCAGGUAAUUUUGUAUUUUUAGUAGACAUGGGGUUUCACCGUGUUGGCCAGGCUGGUCUUGAACUCCUGACCUCAGGUGAUCCACCCGCCUUGGCCUCCCAAAGUGCUGGGAUUACAGGCAUGAGCCAUCGCACCUGGCCAAAGCAGCCUUUUUAGAAUUCACCUUUGAAUAAUAAUAAUAAUAAUAGCAAAUACAUGGUACUCACUAUGAGCUAGACCCUGUGCUGAUAAGGGCAUUACUCAUUUGAUUCCUUCCAUAACAAGGCUGGUACUUUAUUACCCCCACUUUACAG